UACGAAGGGGGCUAGCGUUGCUCGGAAUCACUGGGCUUAAAGGGCGCGUAGGCGGGCCACCAAGUCCGGGGUGAAAUCCUCCAGCUUAACUGGAGAAUAGCCCUGGAUACUGGUGGUCUCGAGCGAGGUAGGGGCAGCUGGAACUUCCGGUGGAGCGGUGAAAUGCGUUGAUAUCGGAAGGAACGCCGGUGGCGAAAGGCGAGCUGCUGGACCUCUUCUGACGCUGAGGCGCGAAAGCCAGGGGAGCAA
rnacentral:rRNA from 1 species